UGCUAAACUAAUAAAAUCAACAUAAAAUUCAUGAAAAUUCUCAAAGUACAAUGUGUCAAAUUUCACGUACAUUACAACCAUAAAUCAUUGUCCAUCAAUUUGCUAUAACACACACAUUUACAUAUGUAUAUAUAUAUAUAUAUACGUAUAUACCCAUCAUCAUCAUCUCACCAACCCAUCAUCAUCAUCACCAGCUCAUC
rnacentral:lncRNA from 1 species